CCUACGGGAGGCAGCAGUGGGGGAUAUUGCACAAUGGGGGAAACCCUGAUGCAGCGACGCCGCGUGAGUGAAGAAGUAUUUCGGUAUUUAAAGCUCUAUCAGCAGGGAAGAAAAUGACACUACCUGACCAAGAAGCCCCGGCCAACUCCGUGCCAGCCGCCGCGGUAAUACGGCGGGGGCAAGCGUUAUCCGGAUUUACUGGGUGUAAAGGGAGCGUAGACGGUUAUGUAAGUCUGGAGUGAAAGUCCUGGGCUCAACCCCGGUAGUGCUUUUGAAACUGUGUAACUGGAGUACAGGAGGGGCAGGCGGAAUUCGUGGUGUAGCGGUGAAAUGCGUAGAUAUCAGGAGGAACACCGGCGGCGAAGGCGGCCUGCUGGACUGAAACUGACGUUGAGGCUCGAAAGCGUGGGGAGCAAACAGGAUUAGAUACCCCAGUAGUC
rnacentral:rRNA from 1 species